GACGAACGCUGGCGGCGUGCCUAAUACAUGCAAGUCGAGCGAACUUGAGGGAGCUUGCUCCCAAAAGUUAGCGGCGGACGGGUGAGUAACACGUGGGCAACCUGCCUAUAAGACUGGGCUAACUUCGGGAAACCGGAGCUAAUACCGGAUAAUUCUUUUCUACACAUGUAGGAAAGCUGAAAGACGGUUUACGCUGUCACUUAUAUAUGGGCCCGCGGCGCAUUAGCUAGUUGGUGAGGUACCGGCUCACCAAGGCUACGAUGGGUAGACGACCUGAGAGGGUGAUCGGCCACACUGGGAAUGAGACACGGCCCAGACUCCUACGGGAGGCAGCAGUAGGGAAUCUUCCGCAAUGGACGAAAGUCUGACGGAGCAACGCCGCGUGAGUGAUGAAGGUUUUCGGAUCGUAAAACUCUGUUGUUAGGGAAGAACAAGUACGAGAGUAACUGCUCGUACCUUGACGGUACCUAACCAGAAAGCCACGGCUAACUACGUGCCAGCCGCCGCGGUAAAAC
rnacentral:rRNA from 1 species